CCCAACUAUCCCUAUUAAUCAUUACGUCGAUCCUAGAAACCAACAAAAUAGAAUCAAACGUCCUAUUUCAUUAUUCCAUGCUAAUGUAUUCAGACGAUAGUCUGCUUUAAACACUCUAAUUUUUUCAAAGUAACAGUCCUGAUUCCCCACGACACCAAAUUAAUGGCAUCGAGGUUCUUCAGAAGGGAGAAACCAAUAAUACCAGUACGUACCGAGGCACGACCAACAAAUUGGUCCCGAAAUUCAACUACGAGCUUUUUAACUGCAACAACUUUAAUAUACGCUAUUGGAGCUGGAAUUACCGCGGCUGCUGGCACCAGACUUGCCCUCCAA
rnacentral:misc_RNA from 1 species